rnacentral:rRNA from 1 species
UACGUAGGUGGCAAGCGUUGUCCGGAAUUAUUGGGCGUAAAGCGCGCGCAGGUGGUUCCUUAAGUCUGAUGUGAAAGCCCACGGCUCAACCGUGGAGGGUCAUUGGAAACUGGGGAACUUGAGUGCAGAAGAGGAAAGUGGAAUUCCACGUGUAGCGGUGAAAUGCGUAGAGAUGUGGAGGAACACCAGUGGCGAAGGCGACUUUCUGGUCUGUAACUGACACUGAGGCGCGAAAGCGUGGGGAGCGAACAGG